UGCCAGACUCCUACGGGAGGCAGCAGUGGGGAAUAUUGCACAAUGGGGGGAACCCUGAUGCAGCGACGCCGCGUGAGUGAAGAAGUAUUUCGGUAUGUAAAGCUCUAUCAGCAGGGAAGAAGAUGACGGUACCUGACUAAGAAGCCCCGGCUAACUACGUGCCAGCAGCCGCGGUAAUACGUAGGGGGCAAGCGUUAUCCGGAUUUACUGGGUGUAAAGGGAGCGUAGACGGCAGGGCAAGUCUGGAGUGAAAGCCCGGGGCCCAACCCCGGGACUGCUUUGGAAACUGCCAUGCUGGAGUGCUGGAGAGGUAAGCGGAAUUCCUAGUGUAGCGGUGAAAUGCGUAGAUAUUAGGAGGAACACCAGUGGCGAAGGCGGCUUACUGGACAGUAACUGACGUUGAGGCUCGAAAGCGUGGGGAGCAAACAGGAUUAGAUACCCUAGUA
rnacentral:rRNA from 1 species